UACCCAAUCCUGACACAGGGAGGUAGUGACAAGAAAUAACAAUACAGGGCUUUCGUCUUGUAAUUGGUAAUGAUGGUGAUGUACAACCUCACCAGAGUACCAAUUGGAGGGCAAGUCUGGUGCCAGCAGCCGCGGUAAUUCCAGCUCCAAUAGCGUAUAUUAAACUUGUUGCAGUUAAAAAGCUCGUAGUUGUAUUUCAGCCUCGCGUUUUUUCCCUCCUUUUGGGUCUUUUCGCUGGCUUUGUUUUUACUUUGAGAAAAUUAGAGUGUUUCAAGCAGACUUUUGUCUUGAAUACUUCAGCAUGGAAUAAUAGAGUAGGACCUUGGUUCUAUUUUGUUGGUUUCGAGCCUUUGGUAUAAUUUGUGUAUAGAU
rnacentral:rRNA from 1 species